rnacentral:rRNA from 1 species
GCAGCAGGCGAGAAUAUUUCGCAAUGGGCGAAAGCCUGACGAAGCGACACCGCGUGUUUGAAUAAGCCCUUAGGGGUGUAAAGAACUUUUCUCCAUGAACAAGCUUCGGCUGAGUGUAGUGGAGGAAUAAGAGGAGGCUAAUCACGUGCCAGAAGCCUCGGUAAUACGUGAUCCUCAAGUGUUAUCCGGAUUUAUUGGGCGUAAAGCGUCUGUAGGCGGUUAAAUAAGUCUUUGGUUAAAGCCCCAUGGCUCAACUAUGGGAAUGCCAGAGAUACUGUUUGACUAGAGGGUGUUAGGGGCUGAUGGAACGGUCGGUGUAGGG